UACGUAGGGGGCAAGCGUUAUCCGGAUUUACUGGGUGUAAAGGGAGCGUAGACGGUUAUGCAAGUCAGAAGUGAAAGCCCAAAGCUCAACUUCGGGACUGCUUUUGAAACUGUGUAACUAGAGUGCAGGAGGGGUAAGCGGAAUUCCUAGUGUAGCGGUGAAAUGCGUAGAUAUUAGGAGGAACACCGGCGGCGAAGGCGGCUUACUGGACUGUAACUGACGUUGAGGCACGAAAGUGUGGGGAGCAAACAGG
rnacentral:rRNA from 1 species